rnacentral:rRNA from 1 species
UCGAGGGGCAUCAGUUUGGUUUGCUUGCAAACCAAAGCUGGCGACCGGCGCACGGGUGAGUAACACGUAUCCAACCUGCCUCAUACUCGGGGAUAGCCUUUCGAAAGAAAGAUUAAUAUCCGAUAGCAUAUAUUUCCCGCAUGGGUUUUAUAUUAAAGAAAUUCGGUAUGAGAUGGGGAUGCGUUCCAUUAGAUAGUAGGCGGGGUAACGGCCCACCUAGUCUUCGAUGGAUAGGGGUUCUGAGAGGAAGGUCUCCCACAUUGGAACUGAGACACGGUCCAAACUCC